AUGGGCAUACCAAAAUUGUCGUCCCUCGUGUUUAUUAAAAAUCAGCAGUGUUGUGAACUGGACGACCGGAAGAAUGGCCGGGUGAGCGUCUGGGGCGCCUUCAGCCCGCAGGACGUGGCCAUCAAGAUCAGGAAGCGGACCAACCGGCGCGUCGAAAUACUAGAGCUCUGGGAGGCCGCAGGGCCGGGGGGCGGCGACGAGCAGGGCGUCGGCGGCGGGCAGAUGCCCUGA
rnacentral:rRNA from 1 species